CUUAAACAUUUGUGAAAGGAAGGAAGAACUCAGUGAGAUAACCACAGCGCUGAGAUGUUAUCAGAACAUCUGCACUCUGUCCAUCUCUCGCCCCAUUUUCCCCCGAGGAGCUGUUCCCUCUCGGUCCCACAUAGCACACACCAUCAAAACCACAGCAUACAGACAUGCAUAAGGUUCCUCCUUCCACCAGGGGACUUGUGUCUCCCGUUACAGCACGGAGGAUGUAUCAGGUUGCAGCAAAAUUUCACUCCUGCCAUAAUUUCGCAGGGAGAAGAUGAAUAUGAGAACAUAAUUUCCACAGCCAGCAGCCAUGCUCUGAGCAGCGCUCGUCGUGUCAGACAAAACCACAGACGACAACCUCAACUCAGACAGGGCUCUCAUUUGGGACCAGAGCCUGGAAGCAGCCUCCUGAAAGCAAGACCGGAGGAGCAAGAGAUGGAAAGAAGGGGCAGAGACAUUUCUGAGCCUCACCAAGGAAAGGAAAUAGCCUGCAAGAAAACAAGGCUUUCUUCUGGAAACCGCCUCAUGCUUGCAGCACAUUUCAGUCCCAGCUGGAAAUAGAAAUGCUGGGGACUCCAGGCAACAAAGCCAACUGGAGGGAUAUCCCUUCCCAAAUGGAGAAGCCAAUGGAGACACACGAGCUGAGAGGCAGAGCUGGGAUUAAACUCUGAGUGUUGCACCAUGCUGUGACUUUCCAUAGGAAGGGAGGAAGAUGAAGAGAGAAUUCUUCUCACCAGCUGGAUUCCUUCUCCUGCUGCCCAGCCCCGGGUCCGGCGCCAACACCUUGCGCAAAAGUCAACGCACCAACCUGACAGGUUUUCCAUCCACACCAAUCGCACAUUCAAGCUUAAUGGUUUUUCAUGCAGAUGUAACUUAAUUAACUGACUGCCUGAUUGCAUCCUAUAUGAGAUUUUUAGGCAGUUGAGACUGUUGCACAUUUGCAGAGCUGCUCCUGCCAGCCGUAAUGUGCUAUGCCACUUCAGGAGGAGCUGCCCAUGAGGAGUUGUCCAUGAUUUCGUAUUAACACCUUGAGACAAGACCAUGGAACUUAGUCUGCAAGUAUAUAUAUACUUAGAUUUUCUUUUAAAACAGAGAUGUGAAAAAAACACAAUAUGAGACACGAGACAAGGCUGGCUUGAGCAAGUUGAUGUCGGCUCAUCUUUCAAGCACCAUCCUCCAAAGUCAGAGAAUCACAGAAC
ensembl:lncRNA